rnacentral:rRNA from 1 species
AGGAUAAACGCUGGCGGUGUGCCUAAUACAUGCAAGUCGUGCGGCAGCACGGGCUUCGGCCUGGUGGCGAGCGGCGGACGGCUGAGUAACGCGUAGGAACGUACCCCAAAGUGAGGGAUAACUGCCCGAAAGGGUAGCUAAUACCGCAUAUGGUCUUCGGAUUAAAGCUUUUAGCGCUUUGGGAACGGCCUGCGUUCGAUUAGUUUGUUGGUGAGGUAAUGGCUUACCAAGACGAUGAUCGAUAGCUGGUCUGAGAGGAUGAUCAGCCAGACUGGGACUGAGACACGGCCCAGACUCCUACGGGAGGCAGCAGUAGGGAAUUUUCCACAAUGGGCGAAAGACUGAUGGAGCAACACCGCGUGCAGGAUGAAGGCUUUCGGGUCGUAAACUGCUUUUCUAUGUGAGGAUUAUGACAGUAGCAGAGGAAUAAGGAUCGGCUAACUCCGUGCCAGCAGCCGCGGUAA